GGUCGGUUAGCUCAGUUGGUUAGAGCGUCGUACUAAUAUUAUAUAACAAUAACAAUAACAAUUGUGUAAUUAUAUAACAUUGGUAAAUGCGAAGGUCAUGAGUUCGACCCUCAUACUGACCA